GCAUGGGUCGCUUGGAACCGUGACCUGGGCAGUAGCCAACAAGUUAGCUACAACCCGUUCGACGUCUCUUACUUUCCUGCAACCCAGCCCAGUACUCUUUCUUGAGAAAGAGACUGUCAUUAAUUUUUGUGUCAAAGGAAAUAAGAAAUGUCCCAACGUCAGAGCGGUACCGUCAAGUGGUUUAACGACGAGAAAGGUUUUGGUUUUAUCACUCCAGAAAGCGGUCCGGAUCUGUUCGUGCAUUUCCGCGCCAUUCAGGGCAACGGCUUCAAGAGCUUGAAAGAAGGCCAGAAAGUGACCUUCAUCGCCGUGCAGGGCCAAAAAGGCAUGCAGGCUGACGAAGUUCAAGCCGAAGCUUAAUCGUCUGUAACGAAAAAGCCUCUGAUGCUGACAUCAGAGGCUUUUU
rnacentral:other from 1 species